AGCUUCUUAUCCGGGCACACAUGUGAGC
rnacentral:piRNA from 1 species